UGAGGAAUAUUGAGCAAUGGGCGCAAGCCUGACUCAGCAACGCCGCGUGGACGAUGACGGCCUUCGGGUUGUAAAGUCCUUUUCUGAGGGACGAUGAUGACGGUACCUCAGGAAGAAGUCCCGGCUAACUACGUGCCAGCAGCCGCGGUAAAACGUAGGGGGCGAGCGUUAUCCGGAUUUACUGGGCGUAAAGCGCAUGUAGGCGGUUGGGAAAGUUGGACGUAAAAGCUCCCGGCUUAACUGGGAGAGGUCGUACAAAACUGCCCGACUUGAGGUUGGAAGAGGAGAGUGGAAUUCCCGGUGUAGUGGUGGAAUGCGUAGAUAUCGGGAGGAACACCAGUGGCGAAAGCGGCUCUCUGGACCAAUACUGACGCUGAGAUGCGAAAGCGUGGGGAGCAAACGG
rnacentral:rRNA from 1 species